CAACAGGAAGAUCCCAUCGAGCGGUUUGAGCGGGAAAAUAGGCGGCUACAAGAAGCCAACAUGAGGCUGGAACAGGAAAACGACGACUUAGCCCAUGAGCUGGUCACCAGUAAAAUCGCACUGCGGAAGGACCUGGAUAAUGCAGAGGAAAAGGCAGAUGCAUUGAAUAAGGAGCUGCUAAUGACCAAGCAGAAGCUGAUUGAUGCAGAAGAUGAGAAGAGAAGGUUAGAAGAGGAGUCUGCACAGUUAAAGGAAAUGUGCCGCCGUGAACUUGACAAGGCAGAAUCAGAGAUUAAAAAAAACAGCUCUAUCAUUGGUGACUAUAAGCAGAUUUGUUCUCAACUGAGUGAAAGACUGGAAAAGCAACAGACAGCCAAUAAAGUGGAAAUUGAGAAAAUCCGGCAAAAGGUAGAUGACUGUGACCGCUGCCGAGACUUCUUCAACAAAGAAGGGCGAGUGAAAGGUGCCAGCUCAGUCAAGGGGGUUUCAGAUGAGGACACAGACGAAGAAAAAGAAACACUCAAGAACCAGCUGCGGGAGCUGGAGCUGGAGCUGGCACAAACCAAACUGCAGCUGGUAGAAGCUGAGUGCAAGAUCCAGGUAACAGCAGUGCCAUGUAGGCACACACACUCCCAGAAAUGACUUGUGGUUUGGGAUGUCAUAUCUCUCCCACCCCCCAACCUCACCACCACUUAAACUCUGACCAUUCCUCCUGGGGAGAAUACUUAUUACCUACCAGAGUAUGUUUAACCAUUUCAACAUACUAAGAAUUAACAACAGAACUUAAGUCUUUUUAAUACAACAUAGAGCAGUAUUUAAAAAAUACCUCCCCUCAAUAAAAUCCAGGGUGUAAUCCCUCUACACCUUAGACUUCUGGUGUCC
rnacentral:lncRNA from 1 species